GACCCGGUGGCAUAACUGGUAAUGCGCACAUUUACGGUGGGAAGGGCGACCGGUAAUCUGUAAAUGCAAGACCCUCGUUCGAUUCGAGGUCAGGUUG